rnacentral:misc_RNA from 1 species
CGCCCCUCAAAAUUUGACCACUACACACAAAUAAAGUAGAUUAGUUGUUGGCAUACCAUUUGUACACAGCUCCUACUAGAUCAUUAGUCACUACAAGCUGGUAAUCUUAGUACGCGAAAGCCUAACAGCUUGAUCAAGCCCAUAAAGGGAAUCAAUCAAGUGCAUCCGCAGUGAAGCUGGUCCUUUGGCCAUGUCCAUUCCCAAUUCACCAGCAAUACCAAGUAUGGACAAUGCUGAAGCUGUUGCU